UGUUGGAGCCAUAUCACCCUGCAGCCCAAGACUGGUUGCCCACUGAUGCUAAGCAGGGCUGAGCCUGGUCAGUACCUGGAUGGGAGACCUCCUGGGAAAAUUUGAUUGCUGCUGGAA
ensembl:rRNA 5S_rRNA 5S ribosomal RNA